rnacentral:rRNA from 1 species
AACGAACGCUGGCGGCAGGCUUAACACAUGCAAGUCGAACGCCCCGCAAGGGGAGUGGCAGACGGGUGAGUAACGCGUGGGAAUCUACCCAGAUCUACGGAACAACAGUUGGAAACGACUGCUAAUACCGUAUACGCCCUACGGGGGAAAGAUUUAUCGGAUUUGGAUGAGCCCGCGUUGGAUUAGCUAGUUGGGGGGGUAAUGGCCUACCACGGCGACGAUCCAUAGCUGGUCUGAGAGGAUGACCAGCCACACUGGGACUGAGACACGGCCCAGACUCCUACGGGAGGCAGCAGUGGGGAAUAUUGGACAAUGGGCGCAAGCCUGAUCCAGCCAUGCCGCGUGAGUGAUGAAGGCCCUAGGGUUGUAAAGCUCUUUCACCGGUGAAGAUAAUGACGGUAACCGGAGAAGAAGCCCCGGCUAACUUCGUGCCAGCAGCCGCCGUAAUAC